rnacentral:rRNA from 1 species
UGGGGAAUCUUGCACAAUGGGGGCAACCCUGAUGCAGCGACGCCGCGUGAGCGAUGAAGGUUUUCGAAUCGUAAAGCUCUGUCCUAUGGGAAGAUAAUGACGGUACCAUAGGAGGAAGCCCCGGCUAACUACGUGCCAGCAGCCGCGGUAAUACGUAGGGGGCGAGCGUUGUCCGGAAUUACUGGGCGUAAAGGGUUCGCAGGCGGCAUGGCAAGUCCGAUGUAAAAGGCGAAGGCUCAACCUUCGUAAGCAUCGGAAACUGUCAAGCUUGAGUGAAGGAGAGGCAAGUGGAAUUCCUAGUGUAGCGGUGAAAUGCGUAGAUAUUAGGAGGAAUACCGGUGGCGAAGGCGACUUUCUGGACUUUUACUGACGCUCAGGUACGAAAGCGUGGGGAGCAAACAGG